GAUGGACGCUGGCGGCGUGCCUAAUACAUGCAAGUCGAGCGAACGGACGAGAAGCUUGCUUCUCUGACGUUAGCGGCGGACGGGUGAGUGACACGUGGAUAACCUACCUAUAAGACUGGGAUAACUUCGGGAAACCGUAGCUAAUACCGGAUAAUAUUUUGAACCGCAUGGUUCAAAAGUGAAAGACGGUCUUGCUGUCACUUAUAGAUGGAUCCGCGCUGCAUUAGCUAGUUGGUAAGGUAACGGCUUACCAAGGCAACGAUGCAUAGCCGACCUGAGAGGGUGAUCGGCCACACUGGAACUGAGACACGGUCCAGACUCCUACGGGAGGCAGCAGUAGGGAAUCUUCCGCAAUGGGCGAAAGCCUGACGGAGCAACGCCGCGUGAGUGAUGAAGGUCUUCGGAUCGUAAAACUCUGUUAUUAGGGAAGAACAUAUGUGUAAGUAACUGUGCACAUCUUGACGGUACCUAAUCAGAAAGCCACGGCUAACUACGUG
rnacentral:rRNA from 1 species